UACGUAGGGUGCGAGCGUUAAUCGGAAUUACUGGGCGUAAAGCGUGCGCAGGCGGUUGUGCAAGACAGAUGUGAAAUCCCCGGGCUCAACCUGGGAACUGCAUUUGUGACUGCACGGCUGGAGUGCGGCAGAGGGGGAUGGAAUUCCGCGUGUAGCAGUGAAAUGCGUAGAUAUGCGGAGGAACACCGAUGGCGAAGGCAGCCCCCUGGGAUAACACUGACGCUCAUGCACGAAAGCGUGGGGAGCAAACAGG
rnacentral:rRNA from 1 species